GAAGGUAUAGCUCAGUGGUAGAGCACAUGCUUAGCAUGCACAAGUUCCUGGGUUCAAUCCCUAGCACCUCCA
rnacentral:tRNA from 1 species